ensembl:snRNA U6 U6 spliceosomal RNA
GCGAUCGCUUCGGCAGCACAUACGCUAAAACUGGAACGAUUCGGAGAAGAUCAGCAUGACCCAGCUCACGGGUGGCAUGCAGAUUCCAGAAGCCUUCCACAUUAAA